UGGGGAAUAUUGCACAAUGGGCGCAAGCCUGAUGCAGCCAUGCCGCGUGUAUGAAGAAGGCCUUCGGGUUGUAAAGUACUUUCAGCGGGGAGGAAGGGAGUAAAGUUAAUACCUUUGCUCAUUGACGUUACCCGCCGAAGAAGCACCGGCUAACUCCGUGCCAGCAGCCGCGGUAAUACGGAGGGUGCAAGCGUUAAUCGGAAUUACUGGGCGUAAAGCGCACGCAGGCGGUUUGUUAAGUCAGAUGUGAAAUCCCCGGGCUCAACCUGGGAACUGCAUCUGAUACUGGCAAGCUUGAGUCUCGUAGAGGGGGGUAGAAUUCCAGGUGUAGCGGUGAAAUGCGUAGAGAUCUGGAGGAAUACCGGUGGCGAAGGCGGCCCCCUGGACGAAGACUGACGCUCAGGUGCGAAAGCGUGGGGAGCAAACAGGA
rnacentral:rRNA from 1 species